rnacentral:rRNA from 1 species
UACGUAGGGUGCAAGCGUUAAUCGGAAUUACUGGGCGUAAAGCGUGCGCAGGCGGUUGUGCAAGACCGAUGUGAAAUCCCCAGGCUUAACCUGGGAAGUGCGCGGAAAACUGGCGAGCUUGAGUGCCGGAGAGGGUCGCGGAAUUCCCGGUGUAGAGGUGAAAUUCGUAGAUAUCGGGAGGAACACCAGUGGCGAAGGCGGCGACCUGGACGGACACUGACGCUGAGACGCGAAAGCGUGGGGAGCAAACAGG